AUAUAUUCCUAGAAUAGUGACAACCUUGAAAUGGUAUAACAAUUAAUGUCUCAAAAAUAUGAUGAUAUAAAAUCAUCGUUACAAUUCAAAGCAAUAACCUUCAUCAUACAUUAACAUUUCGAAACCUCAAAUGGAUUCAUUCAAGUUUCUAUUUGUCACUCUCUUAAUCAUGUUUCUUCUUGUUCCCUCUCAAGCCACAGGUGAUAUUGAAAUCAAUUAUGAUACUUCUUCGGAUUGUGUUUUCACAAGCAAUUGCAAGACCAGGUUGGAUUGUGCUGGCCCGUGUAGAAAACUUGGUAUUUUGGUUGGGUUGUGCGUUCCGGAUCCACACCCGGGUGGCAAACUUGUUUGUUGCUGUUUUAAUGGUAAAAAUUAGCGAUUGAUAAAAUUUUAAAUUAAAGAAAUUUUUAUUAUGUUAAUGUUGCUUCAUUUUAUCCUAAA